rnacentral:misc_RNA from 1 species
GGAAGGAUCAUUAAACACGAUUUUCUAAACCUAAUCGUAAACCCAAUCGCGAACGUGUUGGUUUUUGUUUCUCGGAACACAAACCAAAAUCGAACCUGUAGAGACAGUUUGGUAGCAGUAAAGCCGUCGAGUCAGUAGAAUGACGGACGUUGUGGCGCCUUAGCGGUAGUUUGCCGGACCCUGUGAUGUACCGGUUUCGAUCCUUCGGGCUUGAAACAAGGGAAACCACAGCGCAACCGGCCGAUUGCAGCGAGCGAAACGCGUUCUACUCGAUAGUGUUACGGUCAAUGGUUAAUCCUUUCGAGGGUUAGCUGGCGGCCGGUGCUCCUGUCUUGGACAACCGUCAUUCCCCCAACCUAAUCUAUUAACCUUCAUUUUUCUUGUAACCGAUGUACUAAUUUUGCCUCGACGGCUUCUUCGGAAGCAAUCGAUUCAAAAACAAAUAAAUAACGCGAACAACUCUUAGCAACGGAUAUCUUGGCUCUCGUACCGAUGAAGAACGCAGCGAAAUGCGAUACGUAAUGCGAAUUGCAGAAUUCAGUGAAUCAUCAAAUCUUUGAACGCAACUUGCGCUCUCGGGUAGGCCCGGGAGCAUGCUUCUUUGAGUAUCGAUUCUACCAAACCUCGUCUCCAUACUCACGUAUGGCAGUACGGAUAUUGAGCCGUCUCAUUCGUGAGUCGCUUGAAAUACGGAGCGCAUCGAACCACUAGUUGAAAAACACAUAAAGCCUUCUGGCAUAACGUCCCUUCGAUAGAUGGGUCGCUUCGACUAGCUGAUAUUGGAUAAUUGGCAUUCGUGUCAUUCUUAUAUCUGGCUGCGAAACGAACCGAGUCUGUAAGAGACGACCGAUGCUAAAGGCAAAGUUUCUCGACUAUGCUGGUUGAGGCGGCAAACGAUCCUAGUGCGGAUCACCAUACAACUUCUUGAAUUUGAUCUCAGAUGAAGUAAGACUACCCGCCGAAUUUAAGCAUAUUAUUAAGCGGAGGAAAAGAAACUAACAAGGAUUCCCCUAGUAACGGCGAGUGAAGCGGGAAAAGCUCAAGUUUAAAAUCGGGCUGUCGAGAGAUAGUUCGAAUUGUAACGUAGAGACAUCAUCUCAGCGUGUGACCCGGGUAUAAGUCUUUUGAAACAAGGCAUCAUAGAGGGUGAGAAUCCCGUCUACGACCUGGAGUUCGCCGCGUACGAGAGGUGUUCCAAGAGUCGAAUUGCUUGGGAAUGCAGUUCUAAACGGGUGGUAAAUUUCAUCUAAAGCUAAAUAUUGACGAGAGACCGAUAGCGAACAAGUACCGUGAGGGAAAGAUGAAAAGAACUUUGAAAAGAGAGUUAAAAAGUACUUGAAAUUGUUAAGAGGGAAGCACUGGGAACCAGUUGUGUCUGGGCCGAUUGUUUUCAUUGUUUCCGGCGGCUGCGCGUGACCUUAAAAGCACGCGGGUUGUUCGUGGCUGACGGCGGUGAACCCUGUCGGUUUGGGCGAGUCAGGAUCAGUUGGGGCUGCGGCAGAAAGCAACGGGAAGGUGAACGUCGAGGCCCCUCGGGGUCUCGGCGUGGCUUAUAGCCCGUUGCCAUACCGCGGCGCCGACUGAGGAAACGACAAGGCACGCCGCAAGGCUGCGUGUACUCGGUCCUGCGGGUGGUCCGGGGCUGGAGAACAAAGUUCUGCAGUCCUGAACCGCUUGUACUGGCUGGGCUACAUGACAUGUGUCUUCGCGAUCUUGACGAAAUGGUUCUCAUUGACCCGUCUUGAAACACGGACCAAGGAGUCUAACAUAUAUGCGAGUAUUUGGGUGUGAAAACCCUGAUGCGCAAUGAAAGUGAAGGCAGCCUCAGGCUGCUAAGGUAGGAACCGCAAGGGGCACUAUCGACCGAUCGUUCAUUCAUGAAAGAUUUGAGUAAGAGCAUAUCUGUUGGGACCCGAAAGAUGGUGAACUAUGCCUGAUCAGGGUGAAGCCAGGGGAAACUCUGGUGGAGGCUCGUAGCGAUACUGACGUGCAAAUCGUUCGUCUGAAUUGGGUAUAGGGGCGAAAGACUAAUCGAACUAUCUAGUUGCUGGUUCACGC